GUUCGUUCGGUGUGUUCAGCGGGGUCACCUAGAAAAUGUGUUUAUUCCAAUCGUCCGUGUUGCCAACUAGAUCAUCUUGACGAAUCACCCACAUCUGCCAUUUGUAUUCUUUUGAAUCGAGAGGUCGCUAUUUUCAAGACAGCUGUCGUGGUACGUUUUUGUGUGUGAAGGAUGAAGUGACGCUUUUUUUGUGAAGCCGUAUAAUUUAGGCAAUCAUAGCAGCAAAUCUUUAUGCCAAGCGGCUAGUAUUGAAAAAGGAUAAAGUGGUUUCUACAUGCAACUCACAACAAAGAUCGAAUCUAGUCAAGAUAAAGUCAUAGGGCAAUCUCCACCCACAAAUAACAGCCACACUCAGAUACUUAGAUAGGUAGUAU